rnacentral:rRNA from 1 species
CCUACGGGUGGCAGCAGUGAGGAAUAUUGGUCAAUGGGCGCGAGCCUGAACCAGCCAAGUAGCGUGAAGGAUGACUGCCCUACGGGUUGUAAACUUCUUUUAUAAAGGAAUAAAGUGCGGCACGUGUGCCUUUUUGUAUGUACUUUAUGAAUAAGGAUCGGCUAACUCCGUGCCAGCAGCCGCGGUAAUCCGGAGGAUCCGAGCGUUAUCCGGGUUUAUUGGGGUUAAAGGGAGCGUAGAUGGGUUGUUAAGUCAGGUGUGAAAGUUUGCGGCUCAACCGUAAAAUUGCAAUUGAUACUGGCAGCCUUGAGUACAGUUGAGGUAGGCGGAAUUCGUGGUGUAGCGGUGAAAUGCUUAGAUAUCACGAAGAACUCCGAUUGCGAAGGCAGCUUACUAAACUGCAACUGACAUUGAUGCUCGAAAGUGUGGGUAUCAAACAGGAUUAGAUACCCCAGUAGUC